AUAAAGCUGAAGAUAUAGAUGAAGUGGUCCCUGGGACUCCGACAGAAAAAUAUGACACGGGUUUUCUGGGUCCUCUGGAUUCAGCACACAAAACAAAUGGGAGCAUACUUCCCUCUGGAAAACCUGCAGAUCUGGUGACACCUUUUGGGCAACGAAAGAACAAAUUUGUCGUCCAAUCCACCAUCAGUGACCUGCCCAAUACAGAUUCUAUAAAGGAAGAACCGCAUGACAAUAAUUCUGAGGAUGACAUCAUAAAAAGAGUGCAACCCAGGAAACGGUGUUCGUUGCAAACUCAUCAUUCCAAGCCUGAAACAAGUUGUCGAUUUAUGUAUGAUAGAAUUGAAGAUAAGGUAUUUUCAUUAAUUGACUAAAUGAGCGUCAAACUUCUCAUGUGUACAAUACUAACUUCAUUUCUGGUUAUUCAGUUUAAUUUUCUUGAAAAUAGAAUCAUGAAGCAUGCAAAGGCUUUUGCUGCUUCUGGAAUCUACGAGGAACCAGUUGACCCAACUGUUGCUUCACAGGUAAUAUAUCCAUGUAUUUGGUACUUUUUGUAAUCACUGCCAGUACAUCAGGCAUCUUAAGUUUAUGCUUUAAGGUCAUAUUACUACAACUUAUCCAUUUUCUUCAUAUUUGAGAAUACUUUUGUCAGGUUCUAAUAUGCAGCAGUCUUAUCAUAUUGUAUAUUACUAAAAUCAACUAGGAACACUCUGACUAAAGUUCCAUUUGAGAGCUUUAUAUUCUUUUUCCUAUCUUUCAGAAAAGUUUGUUUGCUAUUGGUAUGGUAUGUUGUGAGGAAGAAGGUCGUCUAAAAGAGAAGCCCCUAUUGCUACAAAGCAGGUACAGAACUUACAUGCUAAGAUUAGUGACUUCAAUCCCUGGAAUGUAAUAUCCCCAACCUCUUUUAUUAUUUCUGGACUGAGCUCAGGGAUAAAAGGAACAUUUUAAGGAUCAAAACACCAUGUUUAACAGUUUUGACAUUCGAAGAUAACCCUCUCUCCCCCUCCCUCUCUCUCCCUCCCUCCCUCCCUCCCUCUCUCUCUACCCCUCCCACCUUCACACUCUCUCUCUCUCUCUCUCUCUCUCUCUCUGUCUCUCUCCCUCUCUGUCUCUGUCUCUCUCCCCCUGUGUGUAUGACUGAUACGGGGUUUCAGGGUUUUCGUAAAUUUCACCUGAUUAGAAUGAAAUGGGACAUUUUUGGCAGAAAGGAGAAAGAAUUAGGGAAGCAUAAUGGUUUUUUGAAUGUGUUAUAUAGGGUGUUGGUCUUAGAAAUACUGGAAGAAGGGGUGGAAUGAAUUGCGCCAAAUUAUUUCUUCUUUUUUUUGUUUUAGAUGCUUUGCAGAAACUGAUAAGAAAUUUGAUCUCAAUUUUUUGACAGGCAGCUGGAACUGACUGUGCAAAAUGCACAUAUGGAUGCAUUUUUGCAGCAACUGCAAAAUGAACAGAAAGAGGCUAUCAUCAAGAAGGAGCCUGGAUUGCAUUUGUACUCUAAUGAUGUCAAGAUGUGAGUAUAACAUACAGAUUUUGAUGUGUGUAUCAAUGUGUGUUCUGCUCAUCUGCUUUAAUUUACUUUAUGGUUUUUGCAAGUGAGAAGCUGAAACAGAGAACCCUUAGUUCCACUUUGUCUCAAAUGUUCAAAUUACCAUGUUUUUCCCUAAUACAUGGAACAACAUGUCUGCGAUGAUAGGUGUGCCACGAAGAUAAUUUUUAUAAAUUUGUUUAUAGUUAGACUUGUUAUUCCGCAAUUAAUUGUAUGUUACAAAUUACACGAACAGUUUGAAUACUGAAAUUAUAUUCUAUUUAGGAUAUUGAGUGAUAAAGCUGAAGAUAUAGAUGAAGUGGUCCCUGGGACUCCGACAGAAAAAUAUGACACGGGUUUUCUGGGUCCUCUGGAUUCAGCACACAAAACAAAUGGGAGCAUACUUCCCUCUGGAAAACCUGCAGAUCUGGUGACACCUUUUGGGCAACGAAAGAACAAAUUUGUCGUCCAAUCCACCAUCAGUGACCUGCCCAAUACAGAUUCUAUAAAGGAAGAACCGCAUGACAAUAAUUCUGAGGAUGACAUCAUAAAAAGAGUGCAACCCAGGAAACGGUGUUCGUUGCAAACUCAUCAUUCCAAGCCUGAAACAAGUUGUCGAUUUAUGUAUGAUAGA
rnacentral:lncRNA from 1 species